UGAAGGCAUAUCAAUAACGUUUUUGAAUGAUUUCUAUUCAUAUAGCGUUAAUUCAAAUUGAUAUGGUUUUGGAUUUGGAAUUAUACAUUACUGGCUUAAUUCUGUUGAUAGAUUUGGCUGGGGUUAACAAUCUGGUUUUAUAUGAAUCAAGAAGUCACAAGCUGUCUAUCGAAACGUGAAAAAUAAACACUAGGUACUCAACAUGUGUUACAAGCAGUCAACCUUGGAUAUGGUCAAAUGAUGCCCAUAAGUUUUUUUGCCUGUGUUUGAGUGAUGUAAUGCGAGAGUGAUUGAUAAGAUCAUCAAAGGUCCAUGCCUAUCGGCGGGAUUCGAACCCACGACCUGACAAUAACUUGCCAGCAGAUUGGAAGUUGUAACACCCCAGACCCUAGACUUUUGGCCAGCAAUUAAUAUUUAAUGUUGAUUGAAACCUUGUCACUGAGAGAAAUCGCGGUAAGUUUGACAUACUGAAUGUUGAGUAGCUGCCGUAUAUCUUGGUUUAUAAUCUCAUUUUUUACUAACAAAAU